AUUCAGCAAGGAUCUGUGGUAACCAGCUGGCAGUCACCGCAGACCCGCUCCAAGAAGGAGUCCCAGCGCCUCCUCGCUCGCGCCACUCUCCCUCCCCGCAGCAGAGGGGCUGCGGCCAGUCCAUCUUCGUGCCUAAUAUUCCCAAGCCUAUUGUCCGUUCUUGGUCUAAUGUAGGGCAUUCUCGCAGACUGAGGGUGAUUUUCAGGAAAGGUCUGUAAUAAUGCUCUGCGGCUGUGAUCUCGAGGCUUUUGAAAUCCGCUUUCCCGCUUCCACCCCACCUUCUUCCCAAGCAUUUCAUCCCUGGCGAGAAGAUUAAUGUCCUCACAACAAAAGAUGACUUUCGGAGCAGAACCUGCCCAAUAACCAGAAGUGGCAAGUAAAAGAGGCACGGUGCUGACCUCUCUCAGUGACAUGAACAAGAAGCAAGUGGAGGAGCCUUUCGUUCUGCUUAGAAAGAGCGCAGACCUCUGGGGCAGGAAGCGCCCGGCUCCGCUCACUUCUCUGAGACCCAUUGCGAAAGAAACCUCCCCCAAAUAGAUGCACAUCUAAUCAACUCCACGUGAUUAAAGAAAUCCUGCACACCUCACAGCUUUUGAAGAACCCAGAGCGGGUGGAGGAAAUGCCUUCCUCCCCGACAGUUUGGCGACUUGGAUGGGAUAAAAUUUUACUGGCUUGACACUGCUCACUCCUGGACUGCUGCAGCCGAGAGGUCCUGGACCCCUGACAAGAGCCAGCAAGAGGCACCUACACAGAUCAGGGAAGCUGAGACUCACCCUCUGUGGGAAGAACUCGUCCUUGCUGUCCCAGUGCUCCUGUCACCCUCUUCUGAAUACCAACCUUCGCCAGAGCUUUGCUACGGCUUCUAGCUGGAGAGGAAGAACGAGGCAGAUGGAACAUGUCAAAUACCCCACAUUUGUUAACAUCUCCUGGGAACGCAGACCACGGUUUAUUGAGGAGAAAGUCAAAAGUUCCCUGUGUAUCCCGUCCCCACCACCUAGCCAGCCUCUUCAUGUGACAAAACAUUUCUUGAACAGUGAAUCUUUCUGCAUUUGGCAGCUUCUUAUCCAGGAAUGUAUUUUGCUUGCCUUUGACAAUUAUUUUCCCCAAUUUUGAAUCCCCAUGAUUCAAAAAUCAUGAAACUAAUUUUUCCAUCCUGUUAAAUUUACAAAUAAAAAUCCUAUUGGGGGUUGGUUAGUGAGACUGUACACAUUUCAUGUGUGAAAGCAAUGGGAUUAUAGGAGCUGCCAUCCAUGGGUAUUUGAGAAGUGCCAUUAGAUUGUUCAGAAUAAAGGACUCCGAAAGGUCACUCAGUCUUGGAUAAAACGAGUGAGAACAACAAUGAUGUUUACAUUUUUCUUCCUCAUACAGCAUGUAGGAGAAUAAUGACAUUCAGAUUUCUG
rnacentral:lncRNA from 1 species